UCCGCUAGUUUUUAGACCUCGUCUUUUGCUUUGCGGUGGUGAAGGCGUUGGGUUGGAUCACCUUGGUCCUGCAAUUUUGCAUGAAUUGGAGAAAUUCCCUGUUCAUUCUUUGGGACUCCCGUCACUGCUUUCUGAUCCUAGUGCAAAGACACCUGAGGAAGCGUUGGUACAUAUAUUUGGUGAAGCAAGAAGGACUACUCCAUCAAUACUCUACCUACCUCAAUUUCAUUGUUGGUGGGAGACGGCAGAUGAGCAAUUGAGAGCUGUUUUAUUGACUCUUUUAGAGGAGCUACCUUCUGACUUGCCCAUAUUACUGCUGGGAACAUCUUUAGUUUCACUUGCUGAAGUUGAUGAGAAAGCUUCUAUGAUUUUUCCUGAUCGCGUA